rnacentral:misc_RNA from 1 species
AAGUCGUAACAAGGUUUCCGUAGGUGAACCUGCGGAAGGAUCAUUACGAAUCUCUGUUGUUGGUUGGGUGUGGUGUGGUGGGGUAGAGGAAGGAAAAGAAUUAUUUUUUCUUUCUCUCUUACCACCACCUACCUAUACUUACAUACAUAAGCACAAGGAACAACCGAUAUGGUAUUUUCCUUGAUGUUAACGCUUUAAAUGAUUUAGACAUAUCAAGUAUAAUUUAAGUAAAGAUAACUUUUAACAAUGGAUCUCUUGGCUCUUA